ACACGGACCAAGGAGUCUUGAAUGUGCGCGAGUCAAAGGGACUGGCUAAACCCCAAGGCGAAACGAAAGUGAUGUUGUUGUCGUUGUCGUUGUUGUCGUUGUAGUACUUACUUGAAUAAGCACGCAACACUCAACGCAGCACGCACUGGGGCUGAUCCGGUUCGGGGACGCGCGACAGAAGGAGGAGGGGAUUCUUCUCCUCGUCCUUCGACUCUCUCGCCCCGAUUCGCCACCUUAAUAUGUGGACGGCGCAAGCCCGGGGCCCGCAAAUGGUUCCUCCCCGUCGUUUUUAAAUGCCUAGCCGUGUCGUUGUUGUUGGUGCGGCGAUCGUUUCGUGAAAGAAAGAAAUUAGUGAGAGAUAAUAAGAGAAGGAAAAAAUGGAUGAAUGGUUGGGUUGGAUUGGGUGUUGUGUUGGGGUUUGGGAGUUCCGCCCGCGCGUUUCUAAGGUGCACUGAUUUUUUUUCAAAAUUAGUGUUUCUUAGCCGCGGCGGUAUUCUCUCUCACUCUCUGUCCUUCAUCCUCUCCUCCUCCUUCCGUUUUAUAUAAAUAUUUUCCUUUCUCCUUUUUUAUCGAUCAUUAUUAAGAAAAAAAAGCGGGCGAUCGUUUUUGCAGCAGGAAAAACGCUCGGUUCGUAGACGCGGGACGAGCCGCGGGUACCUUCCCCGCACAUUCUAGUACCCGAAAGAUGGUGAUCUAUGCGUGGCGAGGAUGAAGCCAGGGGAAACUCUGGUGGAGGUCCGAAGCGAUUCUGACGUGCAAAUCGAUCGUCCC
rnacentral:rRNA from 1 species